GGAGGGGUACGAGCUCCUGGUGGACUCCCCGGUCUUCAAAACCGGUGAGGCCGAGCAUCUCGGCCUGGCGGGUUCGAUUCCCGUCCCCCUCC
rnacentral:tRNA from 1 species